rnacentral:rRNA from 1 species
UUAAGCGACUAAGCGUACACGGUGGAUGCCCUGGCAGUCAGAGGCGAUGAAGGACGUGCUAAUCUGCGAAAAGCGUCGGUAAGGUGAUAUGAACCGUUAUAACCGGCGAUGUCCGAAUGGGGAAACCCAGUGCAAUUCGUUGCACUAUCGUUAACUGAAUACAUAGGUUAACGAGGCGAACCGGGGGAACUGAAACAUCUAAGUACCCCGAGGAAAAGAAAUCAACCGAGAUUCCCCAGUAGCGGCGAGCGAACGGGGAGCAGCCCAGAGUCUGAAUCAGCUUGUGUGUUAGUGGAACGGUCUGGAAAGUCCGACGGUACAGGGUGAUAGUCCCGUACACCAAAAUGCACAGGUUGUGAACUCGAAGAGUAGGGCGGGACACGUGGUAUCCUGUCUGAAUAUGGGGGGACCAUCCUCCAAGGCUAAAUACUCCUGACUGACCGAUAGUGAACCAGUACCGUGAGGGAAAGGCGAAAAGAACCCCGGCGAGGGGAGUGAAAAAGAACCUGAAACCGUGUACGUACAAGCAGUGGGAGCACCUUCGGGUGUGACUGCGUACCUUUUGUAUAAUGGGUCAGCGACUUAUAUUCUGUAGCAAGGUUAACCGUAUAGGGGAGCCGCAGGGAAACCGAGUCUUAACUGGGCGUUAAGUUGCAGGGUAUAGACCCGAAACCCGGUGAUCUAGCCAUGGGCAGGUUGAAGGUUGGGUAACACUAACUGGAGGACCGAACCGACUAAUGUUGAAAAAUUAGCGGAUGACUUGUGGCUGGGGGUGAAAGGCCAAUCAAACCGGGAGAUAGCUGGUUCUCCCCGAAAGCUAUUUAGGUAGCGCCUCGUGAACUCAUCUUCGGGGGUAGAGCACUGUUUCGGCUAGGGGGUCAUCCCGACUUACCAACCCGAUGCAAACUACGAAUACCGAAGAAUGUUAUCACGGGAGACACACGGCGGGUGCUAACGUCCGUCGUGAAGAGGGAAACAACCCAGACCGCCAGCUAAGGUCCCAAAGUCAUGGUUAAGUGGGAAACGAUGUGGGAAGGCACAGACAGCCAGGAUGUUGGCUUAGAAGCAGCCAUCAUUUAAAGAAAGCGUAAUAGCUCACUGGUCGAGUCGGCCUGCGCGGAAGAUGUAACGGGGCUAAACCAUGCACCGAAGCUGCGGCAGCGACACUAUGUGUUGUUGGGUAGGGGAGCGUUCUGUAAGCCUGCGAAGGUGACCUGUGAGGGUUGCUGGAGGUAUCAGAAGUGCGAAUGCUGACAUAAGUAACGAUAAAGCGGGUGAAAAGCCCGCUCGCCGGAAGACCAAGGGUUCCUGUCCAACGUUAAUCGGGGCAGGGUGAGUCGACCCCUAAGGCGAGGCCGAAAGGCGUAGUCGAUGGGAAACAGGUUAAUAUUCCUGUACUUGGUGUUACUGCGAAGGGGGGACGGAGAAGGCUAUGUUAGCCGGGCGACGGUUGUCCCGGUUUAAGCAUGUAGGCUGAUUGUCCAGGCAAAUCCGGAUAAUCAAGGCUGAGGUGUGAUGACGAGGCACUACGGUGCUGAAGUAACAAAUGCCCUGCUUCCAGGAAAAGCCUCUAAGCAUCAGGUAACAUCAAAUCGUACCCCAAACCGACACAGGUGGUCAGGUAGAGAAUACCAAGGCGCUUGAGAGAACUCGGGUGAAGGAACUAGGCAAAAUGGUGCCGUAACUUCGGGAGAAGGCACGCUGGUGUGUAGGUGAAGCCCCUGCGGGUGGAGCUGAGACCAGUCGAAGAUACCAGCUGGCUGCAACUGUUUAUUAAAAACACAGCACUGUGCAAACACGAAAGUGGACGUAUACGGUGUGACGCCUGCCCGGUGCCGGAAGGUUAAUUGAUGGGGUUAUCCGUAAGGAGAAGCUCUUGAUCGAAGCCCCGGUAAACGGCGGCCGUAACUAUAACGGUCCUAAGGUAGCGAAAUUCCUUGUCGGGUAAGUUCCGACCUGCACGAAUGGCGUAAUGAUGGCCAGGCUGUCUCCACCCGAGACUCAGUGAAAUUGAACUCGCUGUGAAGAUGCAGUGUACCCGCGGCAAGACGGAAAGACCCCGUGAACCUUUACUAUAGCUUGACACUGAACAUUGAGCCUUGAUGUGUAGGAUAGGUGGGAGGCUUUGAAGCGUGGACGCCAGUCUGCGUGGAGCCAACCUUGAAAUACCACCCUUUAAUGUUUGAUGUUCUAACGUUGGCCCCUGACCGGGGUUGCGGACAGUGUCUGGUGGGUAGUUUGACUGGGGCGGUCUCCUCCCAAAGCGUAACGGAGGAGCACGAAGGUUAGCUAAUCCUGGUCGGACAUCAGGAGGUUAGUGCAAUGGCAUAAGCUAGCUUGACUGCGAGCGUGACGGCGCGAGCAGGUGCGAAAGCAGGUCAUAGUGAUCCGGUGGUUCUGAAUGGAAGGGCCAUCGCUCAACGGAUAAAAGGUACUCCGGGGAUAACAGGCUGAUACCGCCCAAGAGUUCAUAUCGACGGCGGUGUUUGGCACCUCGAUGUCGGCUCAUCACAUCCUGGGGCUGAAGUAGGUCCCAAGGGUAUGGCUGUUCGCCAUUUAAAGUGGUACGCGAGCUGGGUUUAGAACGUCGUGAGACAGUUCGGUCCCUAUCUGCCGUGGGCGCUGGAGAAUUGAGGGGGGCUGCUCCUAGUACGAGAGGACCGGAGUGGACGCAUCACUGGUGUUCGGGUUGUCAUGCCAAUGGCACUGCCCGGUAGCUAAAUGCGGAAGAGAUAAGUGCUGAAAGCAUCUAAGCACGAAACUUGCCCCGAGAUGAGUUCUCCCUGAGACUUUAAGUCUCCUGAAGGAACGUUGAAGACGACGACGUUGAUAGGCCGGGUGUGUAAGCGCAGCGAUGCGUUGAGCUAACCGGUACUAAUGAACCGUGAGGCUUAACCU